GGGCAGGGAUGUGGGGCAGAUAUGGGGCAGGGAUGUGGGGCAGGGAUGUGGGGCAGGGAUGUGGGGCAGGGAUGUGGGGCAGCUCUGGGGUGCUGCUAUGGGGCAGCUGUGGGACAUGAGGACAGACGUGGGGACACAACAGGACACGGGGACGUCGGGAUGGGACGCCGUGAGGGGACAGCGGGACAGACGGGGGGACAGACGGACACACGGACAGCCGUGGGGACACACAGCUGUGGGGACAGAGGGCUACGGGGACAGACAGACGGACAGCCAUUAGGACAGAUGGACAGACAGACGGACACGUAGCCAUUAGGACAAACGGAGAGACGGACGGACGGACGGACGCAGCCAUUAGGAUGGACAGACGGACAGACAGACACGCAGCCUUGGGACAGACAGACAGAUGGACACGCAGGCGGACAGACAGGCAGACAGACACGCAGCUGUUAGGACAGACGGAUGCGCAGCCGUGAGGGCAGACGGACGCGCAGCCAUUCGGAUGGACAGACAGAUGGGCAGACAGGCGGACACGCAGCCAUUCGGACGGACGGACGGACAGAUGGACGUGCAGCCAUUGGGACGGGUGGGCAGACGGGCAGGCAGGCGGACAGACAGACAGGCAGGCAGGCGGACAGACAGGCGGACGGGCAGGCGGACAGACAGACGGGCAGGCAGGCGGACAGACAGAUGGACAGGCAGGCGGACAGACAGACGGGCAGACAGGCAGACAGGCAGACAGGCAGGUGGACAGACGGACGGGCAGGCAGGCGGACAGAUGGACAGACAGAUGGACAGGCAGGCGGACAGGCAGGCGGACAGGCAGAUGGACAGACACACAAGCAGGCGGACAGACAGACGGACAGGCAGGCAGACGGACAGGCGGACGGACGGACGGA
rnacentral:lncRNA from 1 species